rnacentral:rRNA from 1 species
AUUGAACGCUGGUGGCAUGCCUUACACAUGCAAGUCGAACGGCAGCGGGGGAGAAGCUUGCUUUUCCUGCCGGCGAGUGGCGAACGGGUGAGUAAUACAUCGGAACGUGCCCUGUAGUGGGGGAUAACUAGUCGAAAGAUUAGCUAAUACCGCAUACGACCUGAGGGUGAAAGUGGGGGACCGCAAGGCCUCAUGCUAUAGGAGCGGCCGAUGUCUGAUUAGCUAGUUGGUGGGGUAAAGGCCUACCAAGGCGACGAUCAGUAGCUGGUCUGAGAGGACGAUCAGCCACACUGGGUCUGAGACACGGCCCAGACUCCUACGGGAGGCAGCAGUGGGGAAUUUUGGACAAUGGGCGAAAGCCUGAUCCAGCAAUGCCGCGUGUGUGAGGAAGGCCUUCGGGUUGUAAAGCACUUUUGUCCGGAAAGAAAUGGCUCUGGUUAAUACCUGGGGUCGAUGACGGUACCGGAAGAAUAAGGACCGGCUAACUACGUGCCAGCCGCCGCGGUAA